rnacentral:rRNA from 1 species
UACAGAGGGGGCAAGCGUUGUUCGGAAUUACUGGGCGUAAAGGGCGCGUAGGCGGCCGCCUAAGUCAGACGUGAAAUCCCUCGGCUCAACCGGGGAACUGCGUCUGAUACUGGGUGGCUUGAAUCCGGGAGAGGGAUGCGGAAUUCCAGGUGUAGCGGUGAAAUGCGUAGAUAUCUGGAGGAACACCGGUGGCGAAGGCGGCAUCCUGGACCGGUACUGACACUGAACUACGAAAGCGUGGGGAGCAAACAGG